GUCCAUAUCAAGUUGAAACUCCGGAUCAUGUACGAUUACCGAAGUUAAGCAAUGUAGAGCCUGGUCAGUACCUAGAUGGGCGUCUGUUUGGCAAUACAAGGUGCUGUAA